rnacentral:misc_RNA from 1 species
CCUCUAAAUGGGCUCGAGAUGAUGAUGACAGUGAUGAUGAGCAAAAAAGAAGCACUAGAGGUUUGGGGUUGAGCUACUCGUCCUCUGGAAGUGAAAAUGCUGGUGAUGAUCCAGGUAAGGCUGAUGAUGAAACGGAGUUUGCUACUGAUGCAAGUGUUCCCAUGCAACCUGACAGCGGGAUGAAUGAAGAGCAGAGGCAGAAGUUGAGACGUUUGGAGGUUGCUUUGAUGGAAUAUCGUGAAUCCCUUGAGGAGCGAGGGAUAAAAAGUGCAGAGGAAAUUGAGAGCAAAGUUGCAAUCCAACGGAAACGGCUAGAGUCAGAAUAUGGUUUAUUGGAAGAUGUUCCUGGGAACAGUAAGAGAACAUCUUCAGAAAGGAGGGAUAGAAGGGAUGGUAGCCGUGAAUCUUCAAGAAAGCGACACCGUAGCCAGAGCAGAAGCCAGAGCCCACAACGGAAAACAUUAACCAGGGACAAUGAGAGGGAAAAUGAUUCUGACAGGGAGCGGGAAAGGCACAGGGAUAGAAAUAGAGCUCAUGAUUUGGAAAGUGAAAGGUGUGAGAGGGAUCGCCAUGAAAAGAGUGGGAGUAAAGAGCGGGAUGAUCACGGCAGAGAGAGAGGUAGAGAAAGAGAGAGAG